rnacentral:rRNA from 1 species
UACGAAGGGGGCUAGCGUUGCUCGGAAUUACUGGGCGUAAAGCGCACGUAGGCGGAUUGUUAAGUCGGGGGUGAAAUCCUGGAGCUCAACUCCAGAACUGCCUUCGAUACUGGCGAUCUCGAGUUCGGGAGAGGUGAGUGGAACUGCGAGUGUAGAGGUGAAAUGCGCAGAUAUCAGGAAGAACACCCGUGGCGAAGGCGGUUCUCUGGGACGGUACUGACGCUGAGACGCGAAAGCGUGGGGAGCGAACAGG